rnacentral:lncRNA from 1 species
GAAUAGAACGAGGUGAGAAAAAUCCAGUUAAGAACCGGAGUUUCAAGCCAUAAACAUAAAGAUAAUAAUACUCACAAACAUAGCAAUGAACACAAGGCAAGUUCAUCAAGAAAAUGAAAAGUUUGAAGCCGAGUCUGAGUUGAAUCUUUUCGAGAUUCCUUCAGAUAAUAGCAAAAUCAAACAACCACUGAAGGUAAGAGGCCGGCUAGGGCCUAAAUUCAAAGGAAAACCCCAUGGAACAGAGGGUUUUUCGGUGAUGGCGGUUAGGGUUAGGGGAGUGUUUAAGAGAGAAGGAAGGAGGGAAGAAAUUUGGGGACAG